UACGUAGGGGGCAAGCGUUGUCCGGAAUCAUUGGGCGUAAAGCGCGUGUAGGCGGUCCGGUAAGUCCGCUGUGAAAGUCCAGGGCUCAACCCUGGGAUGCCGGUGGAUACUGUCGGGCUAGAGUACGGAAGAGGCGAGUGGAAUUCCCGGUGUAGCGGUGAAAUGCGCAGAUAUCGGGAGGAACACCAAUGCGAAGGCAGCUCGCUGGGACGUUACUGACGCUGAGACGCGAAAAGCGUGGGGAGCAAACAGGG
rnacentral:rRNA from 1 species